rnacentral:misc_RNA from 1 species
UCCGGUUUGGCACCGGCAGUCUGACUAGAGUCCCCGACAUUACUCGCUGGCAACUAGUCACAAGGGUUGCGCUCGUUGCGGGACUUAACCCAACAUCUCACGACACGAGCUGACGACAGCCAUGCACCACCUGUGCACCGGCCCCGAAAGGCUGCCGUAUUUCUACGGCAUUCCAGUGCAUGUCAAGCCUUGGUAAGGUUCUUCGCGUUGCGUCGAAUUGAACCACAUCAUCCACCGCUUGUGCGGGUCCCCGUCAAUUCCUUUGAGUUUUAAUCUUGCGACCGUACCCCCCAGGCGGAGUGCUUAAUGCGUUAGCUGCGUCACCGAACGGCAUGCCGCCCGACAACUAGCACUCAUCGUUUACAGCGUGGACUAC